GUGAUUUGGACAUUUGAAAACACAGCUCCUUCUCCUAGGCUUGAUGGCCUGCAUUAACAAGGGGAAGACCUUCACCAAUCAGCAGAAUCUGGAGGUCUUUCAAACCUUUUCUGGGCAUGCAUCGUUUCUGAGCUUACUGAGGUUACGUAUGUGUUUUGAGGAGGAAGAUUGCAGAAGGGCCACUCUCAUUUCAUCACAUCAAGGACCAUUUUCCAUUGUGGAGUGAGGAAAACAGCCUCCAGGGUUGAAGCUGGGGAAGCUGGCACCAAGCUGUAGCAG